rnacentral:lncRNA from 1 species
GAUAUACCCAUCUGCAGGUUACGCUUCGUCUAGCCUGGGCUGUGUUUCUGCUGCUUCUUCCUUAGCAAGUCAAUUCAUCAUCGUCCUUGGGGAGCCAACUCUGAAAUGUUUCCCAGUCAAUUUAUCUGAUAAGAACAUGUAGCUAUCUUGCAGAGCUGCAGUUUACCGGGGCCUAUUUACCUCGCAUGAGUGAACCUCUGCAGCGUUUUAAGCACACCCAUAAAAUGCUGGAGUCAUCAAGCAGGUGUAUAGCGGUCCUUCUCCAGUGAGUCGUCACACCUGCGAAAUUCGACCAAACAUUCAGUUAAUAGCUAAUUAUGUCCCUCUUCUGGUACUCAGAGCAGACAUGAAUAAUCUCUUCUUACCUUUGCAGUGCAAGUUUUCAAUAAUAACUUAAAUUGUACAUGACCUGCAAUGCAUUAUUACCUUGAGACUGCUACUACUGCCUAUGAUCUCAACUGGCUCCACACGUGCACUGAUAUGCUAUGCCGG